AAGCCCGGUGCAAGCGAAGUAGUCGCAGGGUUGGAAAAUCCGCCCUGCAUAAGACGAAGGCGUGAUGCGGAGCGAAAUGAAGUAGUGAAGCUGCGGCCCCUUCCUGUCGAGAAAAGCCGCUAUCGUGUAGCAAGGGCCCGUACCGUAAACCGACACAGGUGGAUGAGGAGAGGAUCCUAAGGCCGGCGGGAGAAGUGUUGUUAAGGAACUCGGCAAAAUGACUCCGUAACUUCGGGAGAAGGAGUGCUGCGCAAGCAGCCGCAGAGAAAUGGCCCAAGCAACUGUUUAGCAAAAACACAGGUCUAUGCGAAACCGGAAGGUGAGGUAUAUGGGCUGACGCCUGCCCGGUGCUGGAAGGUUAAGGGGAGAGCUUAGCAUGAGCGAAGGUUUGAACUUAAGCCCCAGUAAACGGCGGCCGUAACAAUAACGGUCCUAAGGUAGCGAAAUUCCUUGUCGGGUAAGUUCCGACCCGCACGAAAGGCGUAAUGAUUUGGGCACUGUCUCAACAACACACCCGGUGAAAUUGAAAUACCAGUGAAGAUGCUGGUUAUCCGCGCCAGGACGGAAAGACCCCAUGGAGCUUUACUCCAGCCUGAUACUGGGAUUCGGUAUUGCAUGUACAGGAUAGGUGGGAGGCUAAGAACUUAUGGCGCCAGCCGUAAGGGAGCCGAUGUUGGGAUACCACCCCUGCAGUACUGGGUUUCUAACCUGCGCCCGUGACCCGGGCGGGGGACAAUGUCAGGCGGGGAGUUUGACUGGGGCGGUCGCCUCCGAAAGGGUAUCGGAGGCGCUCAAAGGUCUCCUCAGGAUGGUUGGAAACCAUCCAGAGAGUGCAAAGGCAGAAGGAGGCUUGACUGCGACACCGACGGGUGGAGCAGGUACGAAAGUAGGACUUAGUGAUCCGGUGGCAUAAAGUGGGAUUGCCAUCGCUCAACGGAUAAAAGCUACCCUGGGAUAACAGGCUUAUCACUCCCAAGAGUUCACAUCGACGGAGUGGUUUGGCACCUCGAUGUCGGCUCAUCGCAUCCUGGAGCUGGAGCAGGUUCCAAGGGUUGGGCUGUUCGCCCAUUAAAGCGGUACGCGAGCUGGGUUCAGAACGUCGUGAGACAGUUCGGUCCCUAUCCGGCGCGGGCGCAGGAUAUCUGAGAGGAGCUGUCCUUAGUACGAGAGGACCGGGAUGGACCGUCCGCUGGUGGACCGGUUGUCAUGCCAAUGGCACGGCCGGGUAGCCAAGACGGGAAGGGAUAAACGCUGAAGGCAUCUAAGCGUGAAGCCCCCCUCAAGAUGAGAUAUCCAUACUCGAAAGAGUGAGAGACCCCUUAGAGACGAUGAGGUAGAUAGGGCAGAGAUGGAAGCACAGCGAUGUGUGGAGUUGACUGUUACUAAUCGGUCGAAAGCCC
rnacentral:rRNA from 1 species